rnacentral:tRNA from 1 species
GUUGCAGUUCAGUGGUAGAGUGCUUGCCUUGCAUGCAUGAGGCCCUGGGUUUGAUCCUCAGCGCCACA